CUGCUUGAAAGCCUCCAGUGAGCCUCGAUGUUGCACUAGGACUGCUAGAUUGAAUUCCUGAACUUGCUGAGUGACAGAAACUGCUCUGGAGAAGUCAACAAGAGCAAAUGAAAAUGCAGCAUCACAACACUGAAUUAAGAGUGAAGGAAAACACUGUCGAUAAAAUGCCAGAUAGACUGUAGAUGUUCAACGUUGAUGGACCAGAGCCUCUUGCAUCCAUACCUGUGACAGAUGAAAAAGAAAGUGUCCUGUUUUAAACACCAGGAGCUGCAUUCAGUCAGAAGCCUCAAGCAAGAGCAGUAUCAGCUUCUCUUCUGGUCUUAGAUCUAGUGCACACUCCUGGCAGGGUUCUACAAACUUGACAAGCAGAGAAACCUGAGAAUGUUGUGGGAGACAAAGUACGCAAUUUGGAACUGUAUGCUGGAUUCCUUUUGUUUGGCCACCUCCUGUGAAACCAGACACCAACUUUGACUUCAUAUGGUGAAAAUGGCAAGAUGCUUUCAUUCCUGAAGACAUAUCUGGGCGUGUCAGGAGAGGUGACUACAGUCUGUAUCCACGUUGUGGUGCCAAAGGGGCG